rnacentral:rRNA from 1 species
UACGUAGGGUGCGAGCGUUGUCCGGAAUUACUGGGCGUAAAGAGCUCGUAGGUGGUUUGUCGCGUUUGUCCGUGAAAACUCACAACUCAAUUGUGGGCGUGCGGGCGAUACGGGCAGACUGGAGUACUGCAGGGGAGACUGGAAUUCCUGGUGUAGCGGUGGAAUGCGCAGAUAUCAGGAGGAACACCGGUGGCGAAGGCGGGUCUCUGGGCCGAUACUGACGCUGGAGGAAGCGAAAGCGUGGGGAGCAAACAGG